CAGUGGGGAAUAUUGCACAAUGGGCGCAAGCCUGAUGCAGCCAUGCCGCGUGUAUGAAGAAGGCCUUCGGGUUGUAAAGUACUUUCAGCGGGGAGGAAGGCGAUACGGUUAAUAACCGUGUCGAUUGACGUUACCCGCAGAAGAAGCACCGGCUAACUCCGUGCCAGCAGCCGCGGUAAUACGGAGGGUGCAAGCGUUAAUCGGAAUUACUGGGCGUAAAGCGCACGCAGGCGGUCUGUCAAGUCGGAUGUGAAAUCCCCGGGCUCAACCUGGGAACUGCAUUCGAAACUGACAGGCUAGAGUCUUGUAGAGGGGGGUAGAAUUCCAGGUGUAGCGGUGAAAUGCGUAGAGAUCUGGAGGAAUACCGGUGGCGAAGGCGGCCCCCUGGACAAAGACUGACGCUCAGGUGCGAAAGCGUGGGGAGCAAACAGGAUUAGA
rnacentral:rRNA from 1 species